rnacentral:lncRNA from 1 species
GGAAAUGAACUCUUAUCUCAGCUAAGAGAAAAAGAGGGAGAAUUACACAGCGUCGUAUAUCAGCAUAGCAUAGAUGUGGGGGGGGGGUAAAUAGGGGGAGGAAGCGCUGAUUAUUCACACGUUAGCCCCGUUUCAACCUCUAGUUAAGAUGAACCAAUUAUCCUGCAGCGCGGACAGUCCCACACGUCUGAAUUGUGUUUCAUUGUUACUCUCCGCAACUAGGAGGCCCGCGUGCGACAAGUCGUCACAGUUUUAAAUCAGGAGCCGCUCCCCUGGUGAUACGUGCGAGCCCGAUUUUAUUCAAACCUCCGACUAUAUAAGAUGUCACCAACCGAAUUGCACAAUUAUCCUGUUCUGUCUGGAAAACACCCCUGGGUGCUGUGUCAUCUUUCCCAGUCUAUUAUUAAUGCCUCCGGUUUUCAAUGUUGGAUGUAACUGGUGUAACUGUGGAGGAUUAGUCCACUUCAUAAGAACUUGAGCCUUGCUGGUGCCACUUUGUUUCAAGCGGUUAUAAUAUAUUUUAGCUGUGUUAAUCUGGGUGGAUUUUAGCUGAUGCAAACGCAGAAGAGCUGUAAGAGCAGAUCACAGAGUUAAACUAGAUUAACUACUUUGUUAAAACAAAGGAAGCUUUAGCUGAUCUCCCUCAUAUUAUUCUCACGUUCUUCACGCAACGCGCCGUGUUCCACUUUCAGCGCAAACCAACAACCGGCUUCAUUCUCUGAAGCAAAGUCUGUUUCAUCACGUUUUAUCAGGGUCCCGUGCUUUACGUUUUGCUGCAUUGAGGGACUGGGCUCGGACCAGAACAAGUGCUGGAAGAGGCUCAAGCGGGCCGCGUGCCAGCCCGCAUUCACUGACGGGGGACUUUCAACACCCAUCAAACCAGGUGAUUUUGAGUGCAGGAUGUCAUGUUCACGUCUGAUGCUACGCUGUCAAAAUUUGGGGCAAAUGAAGCCAGAAGGGCAGAGCCAGAAUGGAGCAGGAGGGAAAAGGAGGAUGAAGCCUGAUGUCAUGGUGAGCUGUGUGUGUGUGUGUGUGUGUGUGUGUGUGUGUGUGUGUGUGUGUGUGUGUGUGUGUGUGUGUGUGUGUGUGUGUGUGUGUGUGUGUAUGUUAUAUGUGUGUGUGUACAGUAGAUACAGUGUAUUAGAGUCAUAGUCAGAUCCAUGCAGAAAAAUAUGACUUUUACGAGCUGCUGGUGUGUGUGUGUGUGUGUGUGUGUGUGUGUGUGUGUGUGUGUGUGUGUGUGUGUGUGUGGUGACAGGUGACAGGUCUUCUGGGCCACUGAGCUGGAGACAAGUCGCAUCACUGUCACCUCAUGGCUGCUCUGACAGGGCUGCCAUGACAGGCGUAAGUAACACGUUUUAGCCUGGACAUUAACACACUGUGACAUAUGCUCUCUAACACACAGACGGCCCACUCACCACUUACAGUUUCCAUACUAAUUAUAGGCGCCACACACUGUCGUGGGUCCAUUGCCAGUUGUUGCAUGUUUGUCAAACACUUCAGAAAUGUAUCAGUACUUCCAGUAUAUUAUGCAAAGUCAUUAUUUUCCCUUAGUCAAGUUUAAAUUUAGGGGGGAAAAAAAGCCUAUGCGCUUUAUUGUUGUAGUUAAACUCAAUCAACAACCAUAUUGUAAUGAGAGCUAAUGGGCGCCGUCGUCAUGCAAAUGCACUGGGAUGGAAAAGUCAAGAAAAUCUACACCCUCAGUGUCUUCUACGCUUCUGUGCCUCAUCAAUCUGUGAUGUUUAAAAUGUGCAGGGAGUAAUUUGCUGGACUCAUUCUCUCAGCCUGCUUUUAUUCCCCUGCUCUCCCACCAUUCUCAGAAUAACUAGCGAGGAAAAUAACCUUUAAAUGUGAACAUUCAAUCACAAAGAAUCUUAUAAUAUGAUAAACCACGUCAUUUACACAUCUGCAGUAACGCUCACCUUACGUGUUCCCUCAGAGCUGCAGGAAGCAAAGAAAAAAACAAGAAUUGCUAAAUAAAUUCUUGGUGAGCGCCGACUUCA